GGUCUUCAACACUUCCGAGA
rnacentral:siRNA from 1 species